GGCCGGGUUUUAGUAUAUACGAGUUUUUUUUUGAAAUAUCUAAAAGGAGGUUAUUGCUCCUUUUAGAUAUUUUCAAUCUCGGC
rnacentral:misc_RNA from 1 species